rnacentral:rRNA from 1 species
AGAGUUUGAUCCUGGCUCAGGACGAACGCUGGCGGCGUGCUUAACACAUGCAAGUCGAGCGGCAAGGCUCCUUCGGGAGUACACGAGCGGCGAACGGGUGAGUAACACGUGAGUAAUCUGCCCUCCACUUCGGGAUAAGCGCCGGAAACGGCGUCUAAUACCGAAUACGACGCACUCUCGCAUGAGAUACGCGUGGAAAGUUUUAUCGGUGGAGGAUGUGCUCGCGGCCUAUCAGCUUGUUGGUGAGGUAACGGCUCACCAAGGCUUCGACGGGUAGCCGGCCUGAGAGGGUGACCGGCCACACUGGGACUGAGACACGGCCCAGACUCCUACGGGAGGCAGCAGUGGGGAAUAUUGGACAAUGGGCGAAAGCCUGGUCCAGCAACCCGCGUGAGGGAUGACGGCCUUCGGGUUGUAAACCUCUUUCAGUACCGACGAAGCGCCAAUAACGGUGGUGACGGUAGGUACAGAAGAAGGACCGGCCAACUACGUGCCAGCAGCCGCGGUAAUACGUAGGGUCCGAGCGUUGUCCGGAAUUAUUGGGCGUAAAGGGCUCGUAGGCGGUCUGUUGCGUCGGGAGUGAAAACUUACAGCUUAACUGUGAGCGUGCUUCCGAUACGGGCAGACUUGAGGUAUUCAGGGGAGAACGGAAUUCCUGGUGUAGCGGUGAAAUGCGCAGAUAUCAGGAGGAACACCGGUGGCGAAGGCGGUUCUCUGGGAAUAUCCUGACGCUGAGGAGCGAAAGUGUGGGGAGCGAACAGGAUUAGAUACCCUGGUAGUCCACACCGUAAACGUUGGGCGCUAGGUGUGGGGUCCAUUCCACGGAUUCCGUGCCGCAGCUAACGCAUUAAGCAUCCCGCCUGGGGAGUACGGUCGCAAGAUUAAAACUCAAAGGAAUUGACGGGGGCCCGCACAAGCUUGGAGCAUGUGGUUCAAUUCGAAGCAACGCGCAGAACCUUACCAGCCUUUGACAUCCCGGUCGCGAGCACCAGAGCUGGAGCUUUUCAGUUCGGCUGGACCGGAGACAGGUGCUGCAUGGCUGUCGUCAGCUCGUGUCGUGAGAUUUGGGUUAAGUCCCGCAACGAGCGCAACCCUCGCCCUUAGUUGCCAUCAUUUAGUUGGGCACUCUAAGGGGACUGCCGGUGAUAAGCCGGAGGAAGGUGGGGAUGACGUCAAGUCCUCAUGGCCCUUACAGGCUGGGCUACACACGUGCUACAAUGGCGGUGACAGAGGGACGCAAAGGAGUAAUCCUUCGCAAAUCUCAAAAAGCCGUCUCAGUUCGGAUUGUGCUCUGCAACUCGAGCACAUGAAGUUGGAAUCGCUAGUAAUCGCAGAUCAGCACGCUGCGGUGAAUACGUUCCCGGGCCUUGUACACACCGCCCGUCACACCAUGGGAGUUGGCUUUACCUGAAGGCGGUGCGCUAACCCGCAAGGGAGGCAGCCGACCACGGUAGGGUCAGCGACUGGGGUGAAGUCGUAACAAGGUA